rnacentral:rRNA from 1 species
UACGUAGGGUGCAAGCGUUAAUCGGAAUUACUGGGCGUAAAGCGUGCGCAGGCGGUUUCGUAAGUCUGUCGUGAAAGCCCCGGGCUCAACCUGGGAAUUGCGAUGGAGACUGCGAGGCUAGAGUGUGUCAGAGGGGGGUAGAAUUCCACGUGUAGCAGUGAAAUGCGUAGAUAUGUGGAGGAACACCGAUGGCGAAGGCAGCCCCCUGGGAUAACACUGACACUGAGGCACGAAAGCGUGGGGAGCAAACAGG